UCUCCUAGCGCAUUAGCCAUUGCCACUCCAUUUUUUCCCACUGCUGGCUUACAACUGAACGCCCUUUCUUCUCCUAUUCCUCUUCCUGCCCAGGUUCAGUUGCAGAUAUGGAUUGUCCAGGUCUAAGUCUGUUUCCAUUGCACCGCUGCAAAACUCUUCACCUGGUGAGGCAUGCACAAGGACUGCACAAUGUAGAGGGAGAAAAGAACUUCAAAGCUUACUUGUCUCACGAAUAUUUUGAUGCACAACUUACACAACUAGGUUGGCAGCAGGUUGACAAUUUGCGUAAGCAUGUUCGGACAUGUGGGCUUUUCAAGAGGACUGAGUUGGUUAUUGCAUCCCCUAUGCUAAGGACAUUACAAACAGCUGCUGGAGUUUUUGGUGGCGACGGCUAUACAGAUAGAGCAGAUGCACUGCCACUGAUGGUGGCAAAUGC
rnacentral:misc_RNA from 1 species